AUGCAGGGUCGUCCCUCCCUCCCCACAUCUCCUCGCUAUGGUUACGGUAGCAUGAUCUGGGGAAGGGUCUGCAAGAACGAAUGGGCACAAAUUGAAGAAAAUGUUCUUUCAGUGACACAUAAAGGCCUUCAUAAAGUCUCUGGGGUGGGACAUGGUGGAGUCUGGGUGGGUUCUACUUCCACAGAGGCCCCAGGAGGCAGGUGUAAGAGAGAAGGCAGUUGGAAGCCAGGAGACCCUGAGCGCCACAAAUGGCCACAAGGUCCCUCUGACAAGGUGAUUUCUGGCAAAUGCCUUCCCCUCUCUGAGCUGCAGUUUCCUCAUGAUCAAGCGACCCUACAGUUCUCCUACUCAGAAAUUAUCACGAAAAGAAGCAGCGGUGGGUGGCUGCCCAGGUUAGAGGGAGGAAAAGGAUAGAAGGAACCAAAGGUUAUGCCUGUUGGAUGGGCAGCCACCUCUAUUGCUUCCAGUCUCCAAAAGAAAUACAAGUUUGAAGUUCAAUGAAAAAUCAGAUACAGCAGAUUCCAAAUAGCCCCUCAGCCAAGGUAGGGACGCACUCCC
rnacentral:lncRNA from 1 species